rnacentral:rRNA from 1 species
GAUGAACGCUGGCGGCGUGCCUAAUACAUGCAAGUCGAGCGAACGGACGAGAAGCUUGCUUCUCUGAUGUUAGCGGCGGACGGGUGAGUAACACGUGGAUAACCUACCUAUAAGACUGGGAUAACUUCGGGAAACCGUAGCUAAUACCGGAUAAUCUUUUGAACCGCAUGGUUCAAAAGUGAAAGACGGUCUUGCUGUCACUUAUAGCUGGAUCCGCGCUGCAUUAGCUAGUUGGUAAGGUAACGGCUUACCAAGGCAACGAUGCAUAGCCGACCUGAGAGGGGGAUCGGCCACACGGGAACUGAGACACGGUCCAGACUCCUACGGGAGGCAGCAGUAGGGAAUCUUCCGCAAUGGGCGAAAGCCUGACGGAGCAACGGCGCGUGAGUGAUGAAGGUCUUCGGAUCGUAAAACUCUGUUAUUAGGGAAGAACAUAUGUGUAAGUAACUGUGCACAUCUUGACGGUACCUAAUCAGAAAGCCACGGCUAACUACGUG